rnacentral:tRNA from 1 species
GCGUAUGUAGCUCAGUAGGUUAGAGCGUCCACAAAAAUUUUAUAGAGCCUUGUAUAAGGCUUGAACCGCAAAUAUUUUUAAAGAAUUUGAAAUUGAGGAAGGUGGAAGGUCACAAGUUCAAGUCUUGUCAUACGCA